rnacentral:rRNA from 1 species
UACGGGGGGGGCAAGCGUUGUUCGGAAUUACUGGGCGUAAAGGGCUCGUAGGCGGCCAACUAAGUCAGACGUGAAAUCCCUCGGCUUAACCGGGGAACUGCGUCUGAUACUGGAUGGCUUGAGUUUGGGAGAGGGAUGCGGAAUUCCAGGUGUAGCGGUGAAAUGCGUAGAUAUCUGGAGGAACACCGGUGGCGAAGGCGGCAUCCUGGACCGACACUGGCGCUGAGGAGCGAAAGCCAGGGGAGCAAACGGG